AGGUAAUUCUGAACCUAUACUAAAACUGGAGAAAUGAAGAGAACAUUAGCAUGGCCACUGCACAAGGAUGACACGCAAAUUCUUGACUACCUCCGUACGGUC
rnacentral:snRNA from 1 species